GUCCGUCCACGACUCAUUUGGGUUGCUGGGCACGUGCGAGUCCAUGCCCACCGGCCUCCUUCUCCAAAGCAAAGCCGAAUACAAAAACUUUUCUGUCUCUCUGAUUCGCGAUAAACAAACAGUUUGUGCCUUGGUUGGGUGGGUUUAUUUAUUAAUUUAUUUUCCGAUAAAUGCCUAUUUUGUUUUUCUGUUCUUGUUUCAGGGGUAGCAAUGUUUUUGAAAGAAGAGAGGUUUCACCCAGGGUUUAUAUAUAGACUGGGACCGCAGGGUUGGUUGCAACUUCAAAAACAGUAAGACCCUCCAAUUACAAAACGUUGAGGGUACUGAAAUUCUAUACUCGCUGCUUUUUACCGCCACCUGUUCAAACUUAUCUGGAUAAAUACUUUCAUGUUUCCCAACAAUAUUUGUUUUCUAACGGGAGAAUUAAAGGCAAUGAAAUUCCAAAAAUCAUGUGCUCAUGUAACUCUAG
rnacentral:lncRNA from 1 species